AUAAGAAAAGGACUUAACCUAUAUAGUCGGAACUACAAUCCGACGCCUGUUUCGGCCAUCCUACCUG
rnacentral:tRNA from 1 species